AUUGAACGCUGGCGGCAUGCUUUACACAUGCAAGUCGAACGGUAACAGGCCGCAAGGUGCUGACGAGUGGCGAACGGGUGAGCAAUGCAUCGGAACGUGCCCAGUCGUGGGGGAUAACGCAGCGAAAGCUGCGCUAAUACCGCAUACGAUCUAUGGAUGAAAGCGGGGGACCGUAAGGUCUCGCGCGAUUGGAGCGGCCGAUGGCAGAUUAGGUAGUUGGUGGGGUAAAGGCUCACCAAGCCAACGAUCUGUAGCUGGUCUGAGAGGACGACCAGCCACACUGGGACUGAGACACGGCCCAGACUCCUACGGGAGGCAGCAGUGGGGAAUUUUGGACAAUGGGCGCAAGCCUGAUCCAGCAAUGCCGCGUGCAGGAAGAAGGCCUUCGGGUUGUAAACUGCUUUUGUACGGAACGAAACGGUCCUGGUUAAUACCUGGGGCUAAUGACGGUACCGUAAGAAUAAGCACCGGCUAACUACGUGCCAGCAGCCGCGGUAACAC
rnacentral:rRNA from 1 species